AUGUUGACGGUGUUUGUUGGCUUGUGGCUGUCCAUGACAUUGAAGCUAGCUACGGUUGAUGUUGUUGAUGUUUCUUACUUAGUUUCCACAGUCAGUAGGUGCUACUGUUCUUUCAUGGUGGAUUGUUUUCUGGUACUUCUGCAUACCUGGAUCUGUGUCAUAUUCAUGCAUAAUGGUUGGGUGAUAACUAACAAUAUGGAGCUAGAAGGACAUACAAAAAUAGAGGCUUACCAUUGCACUGAGAAGAUAGUUUUAUUUUUACGAUAUUGUUUAAAUCCUGCUUUUGUAAAUUUGUGUUGA
rnacentral:rRNA from 1 species